GUUGAUGCUGUUAUGCCCUCAUUACAAGUGGAUGGGAAUUUGUGUGAGUUGCGACCCCUCAGCAGCAGCAACCCAACGUUAGCACUCCACAAUGCACAUUGGCAUCCCUCUGCUUCCCGACCUCAUAGCUAUUCUGAUACUUCAUCAGCUAUAGUUGGAGGUGUACAGCUUCCAAAUACACCUUCACCUACAUCUCAGUCUCACCAGACAGCCCAUCCCCCAGCAAUCACUCUGUCAUGGAGAGUUCUACAAGGGAAGACUUCACUAUUUUAGCAAAAGAAGUUGUGAGCCAGUUGGGGCAAUUACUGCGUGGAAUCCAGACAGAACGAGAAAAGUUGCGACAGGCUCUAGAGUCUGAGUCAAACUUAUUGGCGUCUCACAAUACCACAGCCAUUAUUGCUGCACUGAGAAAUAGUCUCAAUCAGGUAAGUUUUUUUAAAAUUUACAAAUCUUGAUUCAUUCUCUCUCUCUCU